CCAAAGGCUGUGUCUCCCCAAUCUGCAGACUGUUUUAAAAAAGUAAAGUUCUCCUUUUUCCUCCAAAGAUCUCAUGGUCUUUUGUUAACAGGUA
rnacentral:lncRNA from 1 species